AUUUCCGUAGGUGAACCUGCGGAGGGAUCAUUACCGAGUUUACAACUCCCAAACCCCUGUGAACAUACCACUUGUUGCCUCGGCGGAUCAGCCCGCUCCCGGUAAAACGGGACGGCCCGCCAGAGGACCCCUAAACUCUGUUUCUAUAUGUAACUUCUGAGUAAAACCAUAAAUAAAUCAAAACUUUCAACAACGGAUCUCUUGGUUCUGGCAUCGAUGAAGAACGCAGCAAAAUGCGAUAAGUAAUGUGAAUUGCAGAAUUCAGUGAAUCAUCGAAUCUUUGAACGCACAUUGCGCCCGCCAGUAUUCUGGCGGGCAUGCCUGUUCGAGCGUCAUUUCAACCCUCAAGCACAGCUUGGUGUUGGGACUCGCGUUAAUUCGCGUUCCCCAAAUUGAUUGGCGGUCACGUCGAGCUUCCAUAGCGUAGUAGUAAAACCCUCGUUACUGGUAAUCGUCGCGGCCACGCCGUUAAACCCCAACUUCUGAAUGUUGACCUCGGAUCAGGUAGGAAUACCCGCUGAACUUAAGCAUAUCAAUAAGCGGAGGAAA
rnacentral:rRNA from 1 species